GACGAACGCUGGCGGCGUGCUUAACACAUGCAAGUCGAACGGUAAGGCCCUGCUUUUGUGGGCUGCUCGAGUGGCGAACGGGUGAGUAACACGUGUGUAACCUGCCCUCGAAUCUGGGGUAACAUCAGGAAAAUGGGGCUAAUACCGCCUAGGAGCUCCUGCAGCACGGUGGGGGCUGGAAAGUUUCGGCGGUUGGGGAUGGUCUCGCGGCUUAUCAGCUUGUUGGUGGGGUAGCGGCUUACCCAGGCUGUGACGGGUAGCCGGCCUGAGAGGGUGACCGGCCACAUUGGGACUGAGAUACGGCCCAGACUCCUACGGGAGGCAGCAGGGGGGAAUAUUGCACAAUGGGCGGAAGCCUGAUGCAGCAACGCCGCGUGCGGGAUGACGGCCUUCGGGUUGUAAACCGCGUUCAGCUGUGACGAAGCGUGAGUGACGGUACUGGGUGAAGAAGCACCGGCUAACUACGUG
rnacentral:rRNA from 1 species